AUAGUAACGCGUGGGAACGUACCCUUCACUACGGAAUAGUCCCGGGAAACUGGGUUUAAUACCGUAUACGCCCUUCGGGGGAAAGAAUUUCGGUGAGGGAUCGGCCCGCGUUAGAUUAGUUAGUUGGUGGGGUAAUGGCCUACCAAGACUACGAUCUAUAGCUGGUUUGAGAGGAUGAUCAGCAACACUGGGACUGAGACACGGCCCAGACUCCUACGGGAGGCAGCAGUGGGGAAUCUUAGACAAUGGGGGCAACCCUGAUCUAGCGAUGCCGCGUGAGUGAUGAAGGCCUUAGGGUCGUAAAGCUCUUUCGCCUGUGAUGAUAAUGACAGUAGCAGGUAAAGAAACCCCGGCUAACUCCGUGCCAGCAGCCGCGGUAAUACGGAGGGGGUUAGCGUUGUUCGGAAUUACUGGGCGUAAAGCGCACGUAGGCGGAUUAGUCAGUCAGAGGUGAAAUCCCAGGGCUCAACCCUGGAACUGCCUUUGAUACUGCUAGUCUUGAGUUCGAGAGAGGUAAGUGGAAUUCCGAGUGUAGAGGUGAAAUUCGUAGAUAUUCGGAGGAACACCAGUGGCGAAGGCGGCUUACUGGCUCGAUACUGACGCUGAGGUGCGAAAGUGUGGGGAGCAAACAGGAUUAGAUACCCUGGUAGUCCACACCGUANACGAUGAAUGCCAGUCGUCGGGUAGCAUGCUAUUCGGUGACACACCUA
rnacentral:rRNA from 1 species